UUGCUCUACCUAUUUAUAGUUGCUGUAUAUAUAUAUAUAUAUAUUACAUAUUAUUUAUUGAUAAACACAUUCCUUUUCCAUUUUUAUUAAUUAUAAUAUCCUAUUGAUACUAUAUUACACCUUUUAUAUAUUCUUUUCUAAUUAUACAAAUGAAAUGAAAAAUUGUAGCUUUGGUAGCUUUCAGGGGUUAAGAUAGGACUUGUUUAAGAUAAAAAUGUAAAAUGGCUGUUGGUUUCAUUUCGCAAAUCACUAACAACCAUCGCGUUUUUGCUCUUAUCAUUUAUUGUACUUUAUUGCCAACCGUUUGACGAUUGCCACAGGUGCUAAUUUCAAACGUCUUCAUCUUAUUAGGAGGAACAACGCUAGUCAUAUUCCGGUAAAUAAAUAAUGCUGUUCUUAAUAAUGCAUCUUAAUAGAUAUAAACAAAGUGCGUUUACAGCAAUAACACGAUUACACGACGACAAUACGACCAUAGCAAACUCUGGUGUCAAUCGUCGCGGUCAAGCAACAGCAACUAAACCCGAGAAAGGCCGGGAUAAGCUGUUUCGUUAGAGCAUUUUUUUAAAAAGAACAAAAAAAAACAUAUGUCGAUGGAGCGCUAAUGCUAAAAUUGAUAAAUAAACGAAUUAAUGAAUAAUUAGAUAAACACAUGCAUUCAUAAGCUAUAUAUAAAUAUUACCAUCGAUUGUUUACAACGAUGUUCACAAUGUGCCGUAACUCUCUUCAAUUCCCAAACUUGAUAUAAUUUCCACCUGAAACGAAAUGCUCAUCCGGUUGUUGCUCUGACCGCGCAGUUCCCAUAAGGCCCGCACCGACGAUCCAAGGUUGUUGUAAACAAAAAUAAGGAUAAGAAAUCUAAAAGUAAAAAGAAUCAAAGUGUCCUUACCAUCAUGCCCACUUCUUUGAUGGCUUUCCAAUAUCCUUCGCAUGAAAUCCGCUGGGUGCAUACGAGGUGAAUUGGAUUUGUGUGCUUGGAUUGUGGACUGCGGAUUUGUGUGUCUUCGGACAGCUUGGAACACUUCUGAAGAACACUGAUAACACCGAUUAUUCAUAAUGUUAAACGGCAAAUUUUAUCCGAUUAGUUAUUUAAUUGCAGCGUAAUGAAAAAUUACAAAUACAACAACUUUAAUUAACAUACCUUCCUGCGGAGGCAAAUAGCUGCACGUAUCUAACCUCCAUCUAUCGUUUUCACCUGGUAAAGGAUAAAGACACUCAAAAAUAUGGAAAAUUAGAUAGGUACAACCGAACAUUAGACGGAUACGUAUACAUAUUUCUAAUUUAUAACACUUUAGCACAUAUUUUUGCUUCACACUAAGCACAACAAACUAACAUAGGAAGCUUCAAUAUUUCAACGCUUCAAUAUUCGCCAACAGCACACAAGUGAAUAGCACCAUUGAUCAUUACUUUUAAGUUCACAUUACAAACUUUAACACUGAAAAUAUGCAACUAAAAUACAUGUUUAUCACAAAGACGCUCCUGCAUCAAACUCUUUCACUUUGUAAACAUAACCUCCCAAGUAGCAGAGCCGAAGUUGUUGAGAGGUUUUUCUGUGUGCCAAAGCGAGAGGCCCUGUCUUCUCUCUCUAGAUUUUGGACGGCAAACCGCCGCCCGUGUAGAGGUGUGUGCGUGUGACGAAAAAUUAUGGAUGAAAUACGGGGCAAGCGGGGUUUGAAGUCUUUCGUUCGUCACACACACAUGCAUUUACCAGCGGAUAACGCUGGACCGAGUCUACCCAUCUCUCUCGAUCCAACAUGAUUUUUCUGCUAACGCGCUCAUCCGGGUGUUAGGCAUCCUCAGUCUGUCCAGAACUUUCCCUAUGGAAGGAUGUACUGAAGUGAGGUGCGAUUUAUUGUGCGACGUACUUUGUUCAUUUACGUUUUGUGCCGUGUUCCUUCUUCCUCAGUUAUGGAAUGAUUUAUCCUAGCAAAUUGUUGAGGUAAGUUUCUUGCUGUGUGCUUGUGCAGGUACAUUCAACUAACCCUUGGCGUCUAAAAAGUUACAGGUGUGUGCGCUAUUUAUCAACGACUACCUGCUGGCGUCGUCAACAAUCUUCAAAGGAGCGACGGAAAGAAAACGUUUUCCAGUUUUAAAAUAUUAAGCCCCCGGUGAGGACGUCAUUACUUAACAGAAGCCGGUUCAACACGCGCAGCUCCUGUUCAUGACGUCAUCACUAAACUCGAGCCAGCUGAACACGCGCAGCACGGAUGGUACCCCGAGCGCAGUAGGAGGAAGGAAGAACGAGAGGAGGAAGAACGGUAAAUUUGGAAGGGGGAAAGCGUUCUGCCGUCUACACAGCGGGAGUAUGCCAAAACACAUGUGGGAAGGGAGAGGGAUAUUAUUCAAUAAACAGCAUGCGAAUGUGUGCAUAAAGCAAA